CCUUGCCGUUGUUCUUAUUUUGUUUUUAUUGUUCAUCAAUUUUCAGGUUUAUUAUUUUUUUUUAAAUUGUUUUUAUAAAGAAAUGAAGUUUAUGUAAGUUAAGUUAGCCAUGAUUUACAGUUACAAUAAUAAUCAAAAAUUUAAAUUUAAAAUUUUAGAAUAUUCAAUGAUUUUGUUUCCCUAUUCUUCUCAGUCCUCUUUAAAGUUCCGUACUUUUUCAGAUUAUUGCUAAUGGCGGAAAUCUUUACGCCGUAGGGCUUCUUGUUGUAAACUUUAUUCGCGAGGUUGUUUGCAUAUAUCAUACGUCUUGUUACAAGCUCGUGAGCUUGUAUUAAAACGCAAAUGUGUCCUGCAAGAAUAGAAAUUUUUGCCUCUCUGAGCACCGACACGGGAGUAGUCGUGUGUUCGAAUCUCAUCUUGGUAACUAUUUUUACUUUUUUUUCUUUUUACUAUCUCGCCUGCGAGGAUGUGUUUCCAACUCGUAACUAACUAACCAAAUGGUCAAUUGCAACGUCACAAAUUUAAACUUCAUACCUAAACUCUCUAAGUACUUAAAAGUCAUCGGCCAAAUUUGGUAUUUGUUUUCGACAAAAUUUGGCACAGUUAACAAAAAAAUUAUGCUGAACAUAAUAGUGACAUCAUAAUUUUGAUUUUUGUCACCUAAUUGUUAUUUUAGGCCAAAAUUGGACCAAAAAUUAAAAUUACUUUAUUUUCGACAAAAUUUGGCAAAGUUAACAAAAAAGUAUGCUGAACAUGAUAGUGACAUCAAAAUGUUAAUUUUUUGUUAACUAAAUGCCGUUUAAGACCAUAAACGUUCCAUCGCGCGACUUUCAACCAUGAAUGAUAGGCUGCAUUUUUUCUUUUUUCUAGUAAUAUGGUUUUUUAACUAAAGCUAUUUCCUUUUUCGAACAAUUAAGAUCGUAUAUUAUUUUUCUUUAUUUUGCUUUUUCUCACUAAGUGACUUUCUUAUACCCCGUUGUUUUUUUGUUGUUGUUGUUGUUGUUUUGUUUUUGUUUUUGUUUUUUUUGGGGGGUUACUGAAUUUCAAAAAUUUUAGGUGGAGCUUGUGGUCUUUCUUCUUCUUGUUUUGUCUGGUCUCCAAAAACAAUGACGAAUAGAAUAGAAGAAAAUUAAAUCUGAGUGGAGAAAGUGAUACUUAUGUUUUUACGCGCGGCCACUUUUUUAAACAGAAUUAAAAUUUCUUUCUACUUUUUGCAAAGACAAAACAAGCCAAAAAGAACAGCAUGGUGACUCGGAGCCUACCAUAUUGUGAUUUUAUCGAACUCCAUCUCAGAGCUCAUUUAAAGUUAAGGCCGUUUGGUUACCUACGGUUUCACACGAAUAUUUUGUGACGGCCCGCUUAUUAGACAAGAAUAAGAGAUCAACAAGAUCGUUAAAUAUGGCGGCUGGAAAAAACAACAAUAAAACUAAGAUAUUGAAGUACCAUUAUUUCGAUUUCUAAUACCUUUUACAUCCUCAAAUUUUCAGGAAAGCCAUAACUCCGUCUGAACUUUGAAAUAAAUAAAUAAAAUGUAUAUGUUAAUUUUUUUUCGAUAAGGGUGAUUACGCGCCUUUAAGAGGUAGCUAAGAAGUAAUUUAUUGCUUGUGUUUUUAAAAGAGAAAGUUCUAAACAUUGGAAGUAAACAUUCAGCUUUAUUUCUUAGAAAUAAUUAAUAAUGCAUUAGCUGCACAUAUUUUUAUGUUUUACCCAAAUAUCUUCAAGAUUUUACAUAUUCUUGCUGAAGUGCCAGUAAUGACAUGUUCUUGUGAAAGAUCUAUAUCAACGCUACGACGAGUAAAGACAUAUUUAAGAAGCUCGAUGACCCAGAAUCGAUUUAAUGGCUAUGUGUUGCUAAAUAUCCAAAACGGGAUGAAAAUAAAUUUAAAUGACGUAAUCGAUAUGCUGGCAAUAAAAUAUCCAAAAAGACUUAAAAUGUUAGAUAUCAUGAACAACGAUUAAAAGUGUAGCAGUCUUGAUAAAAAUAUAAAUCUUGUAUAUUAUUAUCUGUUGUUUAAAUGUCGCCGUAUAUAAAUUCCCUAAAA